CCAAAGUCUUCUCAGCUCUGUCGCCCGAUCAGCUGCGUGGGCUCUGCUCCCUGGGCUGAGAGCCUCAGGCUGUAACGCCCAUCUUCUCCAGUUGGAGUCGGGAAAAGGGAGCGUCAGUGCUGAGCGAGCUUCGGUCUCCUCCCUCAGUGUUUCUGCCCCAGGGCCUGCAACAUCAGCAUCCCUGACUACGAACAGUGUGCUGAGGACUAUGAGACUCUUCCCGUGG